GAUGAACGCUGGCGGCGUGCUUAACACAUGCAAGUCGAACGAUGAAGCCCAGCUUGCUGGGUGGAUUAGUGGCGAACGGGUGAGUAACACGUGAGUAACCUGCCCUUGACUCUGGGAUAAGCCCGGGAAACUGGGUCUAAUACCGGAUAGGAGCGCCUGUCGCAUGACGGGUGUUGGAAAGAUUUUUCGGUCAUGGAUGGACUCGCGGCCUAUCAGCUUGUUGGUGAGGUAAUGGCUCACCAAGGCGACGACGGGUAGCCGGCCUGAGAGGGUGACCGGCCACACUGGGACUGAGACACGGCCCAGACUCCUACGGGAGGCAGCAGUGGGGAAUAUUGCACAAUGGGCGGAAGCCUGAUGCAGCGACGCCGCGUGAGGGAUGACGGCCUUCGGGUUGUAAACCUCUUUCAGUAGGGAAGAAGCGAAAGUGACGGUACCUGCAGAAGAAGCACCGGCUAACUACGUGC
rnacentral:rRNA from 1 species